rnacentral:rRNA from 1 species
UUUACUUUGAAAAAAUCCAGAGUGUUCAAAGCAGGCCCGGUAACGCCUGAAUACCACAGCUAGGAAUAAUGGAAUAGGACUCCGGUUCUAUUUUGUGGGUUUUCGGAACCGGGGCCAUGAUUGAGAGGGACGCGCGGGGGCAUUCGUAUUNGC